GGGUGCGAUCAUACCAGCACUAAUGCACUGGAUCCCAUCAGAACUCCACAUUUAACCGUGCUUGAGCGAGAGUAGUACUAGGAUGGGUGACCUCCUGGGAAGUCCUCGUGUUGCACCCC
rfam:Gossypium raimondii chromosome 6, whole genome shotgun sequence.